ACCCAGCUGACGAGUUCCAAACAAGACGAAACGCGCGUCUUGAAU
rnacentral:hammerhead_ribozyme from 1 species